GGGCUUCUCAACCGCGAAUUGAUCCCUAUAUGAGGAUUUGCCGGCUUGUCCGGCUAUGGCGAUAAACUGCGGCGUGUAAUAGGCGCAGCGGACCCGGGGGCGGUACCCGGCGGCUCCACCAGAAGUGGCUCUUCCUUUCAGGAAGAACUGUUCCUGACGGGGCCGAACUAGGAUCGACGUGUGUUGAAAAACGCUGUUUUUGCCCGGGCUGAGUAACCCGUUCAAGGCUCAAAACCCAUAAGUGCCAACGAUAACGAAGCACUUGCUCUUGCAGCGUAAUUGAGGGCCUCACGGCCUGACAUUACCCUAACAGAACGCGGUUGGACCGAACCGGGCAACAGAAUCGGAUUCCAGCGGCACGGGGAGCGCCGGGCAACAGAAGCUCCCCACC
rnacentral:tmRNA from 3 species